AACGCAUAUUGCACUCUCUGGUAUUCCGGGGAGUAUGCCUGUUUGAGGGUCAGUAAAAAUAAAAAAUUUAUCAUGAAUCCUUUUUUUAAUUUAUUUUAUUAAAUCGGAAUCAUGGAAUUGGAUCUUUUCAAAGAUUUCAUUAUUUUUGAUGAUCUUAAAUUUAUGUUUAUAUGGCUAUAUAUAAACUGAACCAAAAAGAGCAAUUAUUUAUAAUUAAUCUCAUUUAGUGAUGUUUUAUUAAGCCAAAUAUGAUUAUUUUUUGAUAUUUAAUAUCAAAAUAAUCAUAAACAUAUUUUAAAAAUGACCUCAAAUCAGGUAAGAGUACCCGCUGAACUUAA
rnacentral:misc_RNA from 1 species